rnacentral:rRNA from 1 species
AACAAACGCUGGCGGCGUGCCUAAUACAUGCAAGUCGAACGGGGAAAGCUUUCGGGUGAGUACUAGUGGCGCACGGGUGAGUAACGCGUGGAUAAUCUGCCUUAGAGUGGGGGAUAACUAGUCGAAAGAUUAGCUAAUACCGCAUAAGACCACAAGAACUGCGAUUCAAGGGGUCAAAGGUUUUUCGCUCUAAGAUGAGUCCGCGUAAGAUUAGCUAGUUGGUAGGGUAACGGCCUACCAAGGCGACGAUCUUUAACUGGUCUGAGAGGAUGAACAGUCACACUGGAACUGAGACACGGUCCAGACUCCUACGGGAGGAAGCAGUAGGGAAUAUUGCACAAUGGAGGAAACUCUGAUGGAGCGACGCCGCGUGAGUGAUGAAGGCCUUCGGGUCGUAAAGCUCUGUCGCAGGGGAAUAACACAAUGAAGGUACCCUGUAAGAAAGGAUCGGCUAACUUCGUGCCAGCCGCCGCAGUAACAC